rnacentral:rRNA from 1 species
GAUGAACGCUGGCGGCGUGCCUAAUACAUGCAAGUCGAGCGAACAUAUGAUGAUCUUGCUCCUCUGACGUUAGCGGCGGACGGGUGAGUCACACGUGUAUAACCUAUCUAUAAGACUGGGAUACCUUCAGGAAACCUGAUAUCUUAUACGUUAUUAUAUUGAACCUCAUGGUUCAAUAGUGCACGACUUUUUUGCUGUCACUUAUAGAUAUAACCUCGCCGGAUUAGCUAGUUGGUAGGGUAACGGCGUACCAAGGCAACGAUGCGUAGCCGACCUGAGAGGGUGAUCGGCCACACUGGAACUGAGACACGGUCCAGACUCCUACGGGAGGCAGCAGUAGGGAAUAUUGCGAAAUGGGCGAAAGCCUGACGGAGCAAUGCCGCGUGAGUGAAGAAGGUUUUCGGAUCGUAAAGCUCUGUUAUUAGGGAGGAACAAAUGUGUGAUAAAAAUUGCCCGUCUUGACGGUACCUAAACAGAAAGCCACGGCUAACUACGUG